UACGAAGGGUGCUAGCGUUGUUCGGAAUCAUUGGGCGUAAAGCGCGUGUAGGUGGUCAUCUAAGUCGAGUGUGAAAGCCCGGGGCUCAACCCGGGAAGUGUAUCCGAAACUAGUUGACUAGAAGACAUUAGAGGAAGGUGGAAUUCCAAGUGUAGAGGUGAAAUUCGUAGAUAUUUGGAGGAAUACCGGCGGCGAAGGCGGCCUUCUGGGAUGCUCCUGACGAUGAGACGCGAAAGCGUGGGUAGCAAACAGG
rnacentral:rRNA from 1 species